GUUCGCGUAGCUCAGUCGGAUAGAGCACCGGUUUCCUAAACCGAAGGUCGGAGGUUCGAAUCCUCCCGCGAGCG
rnacentral:tRNA from 1 species